AGAGAUGUAGCUCAAUGGUGAAGCACUUGCCUACAUGUGCACUACUCUGGGUUCAAUUCCCAGCACUUCAA
rnacentral:tRNA from 1 species